rnacentral:rRNA from 1 species
AAAAUCAGGGGCUCAACCCCUGACCUGCAUCCGAUACGGUCGUGCUAGAGUUUGGUAGGGGAGACCGGAAUUAAUGGUGUAGCGGUGGAAUGCGCAGAUAUCAGGAGGAACACCGAUGGCGAAGGCAGGUCUCUGGGCCAAUACUGACACUGAGGAGCGAAANGGGGAGCGAACAGGAUUAGAUACCCU